rnacentral:lncRNA from 1 species
AAAACACAAGAGGUCUGUGCUGAAGUCUUAUAAUUUUGGUCAUUUGCAUGUGGGUCUGAUUUUCGCCUGAGUAUUCAUGGAGUCUAACUAUUACCCAAGCUCCUCCUCGUGGAAGAAAGACUUUUCUCUGUUUUAUCUCAGUUGCUUUCACUUCCAGGGUAGCCUUCCCAGAAUGAAUAGAAGAAUAAGCGUACAGAGACAAUGCAAGAAACAGAAGACAAGGACAUGCCAUCACCUUUGUGCUUUUAGAUGGCGCUCUAAAACACUUGCCAGAAGGUGGCGACAGAAGCCCUUUUUGCCCAGAUCUGUCCCAGGUGCUGAACCCAGUUUUGGAGCUGAAGAGAAACUGCGGGGCCAGAGACCAGGGAUUCCACCAAGUUCUCCCUAGAGGUUUGCAAGCUCUGAUAAAAGAGACCAGUGUAUGUGUCUAGAGACGGGGGAAAACAGAAACAAAAAGUAAAGAAGAUUGAAGGCAGGAAGAACUGAAGAUUCUGGUGAAAGAGAAGAUAAUUGAAGGAGUGAAGUCUUGACAAGGUGAAACAUUGAAGUGUUAAGAUUUGAAGUGGGAACAUUCUGUGUGAUAGGAGGUGAAGGGAGAAUGUAUGAAGAGGUAGAGAUACAAUCCAGCUUUGAGGAGAAAGGAAGAUAUUGUAUGAGGAUAAAUUUGUCAGUGGUUUCAUUCGAGAAUUACAUGUCUAGAUGGAUGCCCCAGGUAAACAAUCAAAAUGAGAACACAUCUAUGUUGGAGAAUCUGUGACCUGGGAGUGAGAUCAAAGGCCAGAGAGAGUUGGGUGGAGCUGGAAGCCGCAGCAGUACUUGUUGAGAGCUGCCUCAGAGUUUGUGCUGCCCUUUAAGCUAGAGCACAUGCAACCACUUCUUCUGUCCCUCUGGCCUGGUUCUCUCAUCCACCACUUUUGGCGUGAUCCCAAAUUGAGGGAAUGGAGAAUCAAAGCAUGUGGAUACAUUCUAGAGCUGGCAGUUACUCUGAUUUCCUCAACUUCACCUUUGUCUCUCUAAGAAUCUAGAGGACUCUUAAUUAUUGGAACUUUCACAAACAGGAAGGAAUUUGUGCCUGAUGAUUUUUUUAUGCAAGAAGUAAGGUAACAAAUAAUAGCAGUGGGGACAAUGACUUCAGCAGGGUAAAUAAGGUCUAGAAUAGUUAAUGUAAGUAAAAUUGCCCCACUGACUUUAUAACAAGGAUUCUUGAAUUCUCAAGUACUCUAAGUUAUUAGCUGCGGUUAGAUAGUCUGGCUUUGUAGUAAACUAGAUCCAUGGGAAUGAGUGAACCCUAGCUUUUUUCACAGUUCUUCAACUUUCCUCAUUAGCAAGUCUUAUUCUUCUAUCUUUGUGUCUCUCACAUAUGCCCCUUCUAUUUCUUUUUAAUAUCCCACAUUCUCAUUCUAGGUUUUACUUCAUGCCUGGAUGAUUGCAUGAUCGUUACAGCUUCCUAAACCGUUGUCUAUUUCCUCUUCCUCUCCCCCAUUUCUUCCUUUUUUAUUAUGUCUUGAGUGCCACUGUUAAAUUAAUAUUCUCUGGCAAAAAGAUUCCCCAUAUUCAAGCUUACUUCCCACAGUAUAACCAAUUCCUCCUAACUGUGUGCUAAAAUUAUACAAAAUAAUGUCUGGAGAUAUUUAGCAAAAGGUCGACUAGAUAGUACCCACUUAACAAAUGUUAUUUGAUCUUUACUCAAGGCAGAAGCUAUGGUUGGGUCACUCAUUGGUUUUGUAGUUAUAGAGCAGGGAGAAAAAUUAUAUCUAAUAUGAGUUGUAAUACGCUGAGUUUUUAAUUGCAUAAAACAGAAGGCAGCUAGGUAGAAGUCAGACUUACCUAGCUGUUUUUAAUGGCUUUUUUCAAAUGUCUGAGGGAGAAAGAAGUGGGCAUUUACAAACUAUCGUUACCCAUGAAAUAGAGCUUUUAUUUUAAAGAAAUAAGACAAUGAACAGGACUUGAGAACGAGUUUGGUAAACUGGUAAAUUACUAGAAAAUGUAACAUCAACCUUCUUCCCUCCUUGUCUUUGCUUUGCCUUUGCCUGACCUUGAAGUGAGUUUCUCUCUCUCACUCAUUAAUUUUUGGCUCUAGUGGAGUGGUGGAGCUCAUCAUUGCUUGUUCAGUUUAUGGUUGUAUUCACAGUAGACCACAAUGUUACCACUCUUAAGCCUCUCCAAAGGAACCAGAUGGCUGGUAUACUUGCACUGCCAAAACAACAGUAAUAAAAACCAUAAAAUGUGAAGAAAUGAUGUAUUU